AUGGAAAAGAAAUGCAAAAAAGCAAAAUGGCUGUCUGGGGAGGCCUUACAAAUAGCUGUGGAAAGAAGAGAGGCGAAAAGCAAAGGAGAAAAGGAAAGAUAUAAGCAUCUGAAUGCAGAGUUCCAGAGAAUAGCAAGAAGAGAUAAGAAAGCCUUCUUCAGCGAUCAAUGCAAAGAAAUAGAGGAAAACAACAGAAUGGGAAAGACUAGAGAUCUCUUCAAGAAAAUUAGAGACACCAAGGGAACAUUUCAUGCAAAGAUGGGCUCAAUAAAGGACAGAAAUGGUCUGGACUUAACGGAAGCAAAAGAUAUGAAGAAGAGGUGGCAAGAAUACACAGAAAAACUGUACAAAAAAGAUCUUCAUGACCCAGAUAAUCAUGAUGGUGUGAUCACUAAUAUAGAGCCAGACAUCCUGGAAUGUGCAGUCAAGUGGGCCUUGGAAAGCAUCGCUACAAACAAAGCUAGUGGAGGUGAUAGAAUUCCAGUUGAGCUGUUUCAAAUCCUGAAAGAUGAUGCUGUGAAAGUGCUGCACUCAAUAUGCCAGCAAAUUUGGAAAACUCAGCAGUGGCCACAGGACUGGAAAAGGUCAGUUUUCAUUCCAAUCCCAAAGAAAGGCAAUGCCAAAGAAUGCUCAAACUACUGCACAAUUGCACUCAUCUCACAUGCUGGUAAAGUAAUGCUCAAAAUUCUCCAAGCCAGGCUUCAGCAAUACAUGAACCAUGAACUUCCUGAUGUUCAAGCUGGUUUUAGAAAAGGCAGAAGAACCAGAGAUCAAAUUGCCAACAUCCACUGGAUCAUGGAAAAAGCAAGAGAGUUCCAGAAAAACAUCUAUUUCUGCUUUAUUGACUAUGCCAAAGCCUUCGACUGUGUGGAUCACAAUAAACUGUGGCAAAUUCUGAAAGAGAUGGGAAUACCAGACCACCUGACCUGCCUCUUGAGAAAUCUGUAUGCAGGUCAGGAAGCAACAGUUAGAACUGGACAUGGAACAACAGACUGGUUCCAAAUAGGAAAAGGAGUACGUCAAGGCUGUAUAUCGUCACCCUGCUUAUGUAACUUCUAUGCAGAGUACAUCAUGAGAAACGCUGGACUGGAAGAAACACAAGCUGGAAUCAAGAUUGCCAGGAGAAAUAUCAGUCAUCUCAGAUAUGCAGAUGACACCAUUCUUAUGGCAAAAAGUGAAGAGGAACUAAAAAGCCUCUUCAUGAAAGUGAAAGUGGAGAGUGAAAAAGUUGGCCUAAAGCUCAACAUUCAGAAAAUGAAGAUCAUGGCAUCCGGUCCCAUCACUUCAUGGGAAAUAGAUGGGGAAACAGUGGAAACCGUGUCAGACUUUAUUUUGGGGGGCUCCGAAAUCACUGCAGAUGGUGAUUGCAGCCAUGAAAUUAAAAGAUGCUUACUCCUUGGAAGAAAAGUUAUGACCAACCUAGAUAGUAUAUUCAAAAGCAGAGACAUUACUUGGCUGACUAAGGUCUGUCUAGUCAAGGCUAUGGUUUUUCCAGUGGUCAUGUAUGGAUGUGAGAGUUGGACUCUGAAGAAAGCUAAGCACCAAAGAAUUGAUGCUUUUGAACUGUGGUGUUGGAGAAGACUCUUGGGAGUCCCUUGGACUGCAAGGAGAUCCAACCAGUCCAUUCUGAAGGAGAUCAGCCCUGGGAUUUCUUUGGAAGGAAUGAUGCUAAAGCUGAAACUCCAGUACUUUGGCCACCUCAUGCGAAGAGUUGACUCAUUGGAAAAGACUCUGAUGCUGGGAGGGAUUGGGGACAGGAGGAAAAGGGGGCGACAGAGGUUGAGAUGGCUGGAUGGCAUCACUGACUCAAUGGACGUGAGUCUGAGUGAACUCCCGGAGUUGGUGAUGGACGGGGAGGCCUGGCGUUCUGCGAUUUAUGGGAUCGCAAAGAGUUAG
rnacentral:lncRNA from 1 species